GGAGGAUUCGCCUAGUGGCCUAGGGCGCACGCUUGGAAAGCGUGUUGGGGGCAACUCCUCAGGGGUUCGAAUCCCCUAUCCUCCGCCA
rnacentral:tRNA from 1 species